rnacentral:tRNA from 3 species
AGUCCCGUGGGGUAGUGGCCAAUCCUGUCAGCUUCUGGGGCUGACGACGGAAGUUCGAAUCUUCCCGGGACUA